rnacentral:ncRNA from 1 species
GCCUCUAACUGGAACGUACCUUGAGCAUAUAUGCUGUGACCCGAAAGAUGGUGAACUAUACUUGAUCAGGUUGAAGUCAGGGGAAACCCUGAUGGAAGACCGAAACAGUUCUGACGUGCAAAUCGAUUGUCAGAAUUGAGUAUAGGGGCGAAAGACCAAUCGAACCAUCUAGUAGCUGGCUCCUUCCGAAGUUUCCCUCAGGAUAGCUGGUGCAUUUUAAUAUUAUAUAAAAUAAUCUUAUCUGGUAAAGCGAAUGAUUAGAGGCCUUAGGGUCGAAACGAUCUUAACCUAUUCUCAAACUUUAAAUGGGUAAGAACCUUAACUUUCUUGAUAUGAAGUUUAAGGUUAUGAUAUAAUGUGCCCAGUGGGCCACUUUUGGUAAGCAGAACUGGCGCUGUGGGAUGAACCAAACGUAAUGUUACGGUGCCCAAAUUAACAACUCAUGCAGAUACCAUGAAAGGCGUUGGUUGCUUAAAACAGCAGGACGGUGAUCAUGGAAGUCGAAAUCCGCUAAGGAGUGUGUAACAACUCACCUGCCGAAGCAACUAGCCUGUGCGAAUUCAAAUGAAUUCUAAGUGCUGAAAAGUAGAGUUUUGUUUUUGUUGCGUGCCGCAAGUUCAAUACCAGUGGCAAUAGUCGCCGCAAUAAGUACAG